UCCUAAUAGGAAAUUUAAGGGCGUAUGGUGGAUGCCUUGGCUUCUGAGAAGCGAUGAAGGACGUUGUGUAGCGACGAUAUGACCGGGGAGCCGCUGAACAGGCUUCGAUCCGGUCGUCUCCGAAUGAGGAAACUCCGUCCGUAGAGAUACGGAUGACGCAGGCGCUUGACGUCUGCGAGCACACCCUGGGAAGUAAAACAUUUCAGUACCAGGAGGAACAUAAAACAAUGCCGGCAUAUGCCGGCGACAUUUCCUUAGUAGCGGCGAGCGAAAGGGAAACAGCCCAAACUCGAUCUUAAUCGUGGGGUAUGUCGCUGUUAAUUCAGCUGACGUACAACGCGAUUAAGAUCGGGGGUAGUAAGGUGAUGGUAUCGCUAUUUAUAGCGGAAAGAGUUACAAAAUCUGUCGUUAGUAGAAUCCGCUGGAAAGCGGAGCCCCAGAGGGUGAUAGCCCCGUAGACGAAAACGGCCAGAUCUCUUUUAUCGUCAUUCUUGAGUACCUCAGGACACGAAUAGCUUGAGGGAAUCCGGCGGAACUAACCGCUAAGGCUAAAUAUUCCAGAAGACCGAUAGUGAACUAGUACCGUGAGGGAAAGGUGAAAAGCAUCCCGGAGAGGGAGGUGAAAUAGAACUGAAACCAUACGCUUACAAGGAGUCGGAGCGGUCCGGGAUAAAACUCGGACCGUCACGGCGUGCCUAUUGAAGAAUGAGCCAACGAGUUGAUGCAUGCUGCGAGGCUAAGGGCUUGAAAGCCCGGAGCCGCAGGGAAACCGAGUGUGAAUAGCGCGAUCCAGUAGUACGCAUCAGACCCGAAGCCGGGUGAGCUUGCCAUGUGCAGGUUGAACCACGUAGAAAUACGUGGGGAGGACCGAACGCUAGAGACGUGCAAUACUCUGCGAUGACAUGUGGUACGGAGUGAUAAGCUCAUCGAACUCGGUAAUAGCUGGUUCUCUCCGAAAUAUGUUUAGGCAUAGCGUCGUAUGUUCCCAGAGGGGGUAGAGCACUGGAAGAUCUCGACAGGUCGAAAGAUCGCGAGACCUAUCAAACUCCGAAUACCUCUGGUUAAAAGCACGGCAGUAAGUCCGUGGGGGCUAAGCUCCACAGGACAAAAGGGAAACAGCCCGAAUCUCAACUUAAGGUCCCAAAAUCCAUGCUAAGUACAAGGGAGGUGGUGGAUCUUCUCUGACGGUGAGGAUGUUGGCUUAGAAGCAGCCAUCAUUUAAAGAAAGCGUAACAGCUCACUCACUUAGAGGGUCUGCGCCGCAGAUGAUCGGGGUUAAAGCACGGUACCGAAAUUGAGGGCUGGACGUCGCUUCGGCGAUGUCCUGCGGUAGGAGAGUAUUCUCUUCGCGAUGAAGGCAAAGGGGCGACCCAUGCUGGAGCGUAGAGAAGCAAGAAUGUUGGCACAAGUAACCACAAUGCGGGUGAGAUACCCGCACGCCGAAAGAUUAAGGUUUCCUUCGCAAUGGACUUCAGCGAAGGGUUAGUCGGGCCUAAGGGGAUGGCGAAAGCCGUACCUGAUGGACACGCGGUUAAUAUUCCGCGACUCGCACCCGGUGCGAUGGAGUGACGGAGCACAGUAUGCGUAGCCCCUUAUUGGAUUGGGGUGUAUGGCCUAAGGACGGCCGCGAGGAAAAUCCCGCGGCCUGCGUUCAAUCGCGGGUCCAAGGGCAGUAUGCAAGGCAUGGUUCGCCAUGCUGAACUACGCAGAGCGCGCUCUCGAGAAAAACUUCUAAGCAUAACCGGAGGCGAUCCGUACCGAAAACCGAAACAGGUGAUCACGUCGAGAAGACGAAGGCGAACGAGUGAAGGUACUCCAAGGAACUCGGCAAAAAAGCAGCCGUAAGUUAGCGAUAAGGCUUGCCUCUCUUCAUUGAGAGGCCGCAGCUAAAGUCUGCCUGGCGACUGUUUAUCAAAAACACAGCUCCCUGCGAACUCGUAAGAGGAUGUAUAGGGGGUGACACUUGACCAAUGCCAGAAGGUCAACCAUCGGCGGUGCAUGGUCGCAAGAUUGUGUGCUGACUGAUGUAAGCCCUGGUGAAUGUCGGCGGUAACUAUAACCGUCCUAAGGUAGCGCAAUUCCUUGUCAGGUAAGUUCUGACGCGUUGAAUAGUGUAACGUCUGGGCAACUGUCUCGGAGUACAGCUCGGUGAAAAUACAAUACCGGUGAAGAUGCCGGUUACCUGCAGUUAGACGAAAAGACCCUAGAAGCUUUACUACAGCUUGAUAUUGAGCAUACGAUUCUGAUGCGUAGCAUAGAUGUGAGACUUUGAGGGACGCUUUCGGGCAGUCCGGAGUCGCCAGUGAAAUAGCAUCCUUCGGCGUUGUAUGUUCUAACCCCGGCGGCAAAAACGGCGGGAGACAGUAUCUGGUGGGUAGUUUUAGUGGGGCGCUAUCCUCCUAAAAAGUAACGGAGGAGCCUAUUAAGGUCAGCUAGCCGCGAAUGGAAACCGUGGCGAUAGUGUAUGGGCAGAAGCUGGCUUAACUGUAAGACGUACUUGUCGAGCAGAUGCGAAAGCAGAGCUAAGUGAACCGACGGAUCGCAUUAGAUGCGGCCGGAGAUUAUCGGACAAAAGCUACUCUAGGGAUAACAGGCUCGUUCCGCCUAAGAGUUCAUAUCGACGGCGGAGUUCGGCACCUCGAUGUCGGCUCGUCUUAUCCUGGGGCUGGAGAAAACAUACCUUCUCUCCCGGUCGGAAACGAUCGGGUAAUAAACAAGCUCAAAACGGUGAAGGCUUAUUCAUGUGGCCAUGCGGAGUUUCCCGCAGGUCCCAGAUCUGAUACGAUCAGAUACAUGAAGGCUAACGCCGUGGGAAAAAUAAUUGUUGAAGUUGAUUGCGCGUAUCUCGCAGGUCUGAUUGACGGCGAUGGAGCUAUCAUGGCUACUAUCGAGCGUCAUAACGAGAAAAAGUUCGGCUGGAGAGUUCGGGUUGAAAUUAAGAUCACUCAGAAAGGAGCAACCGUAUUGCGAUUUCUGAGUCUGAAGUAUCGCGUAGGCAGAGUGGUCGCAAAUCGUACUACGUACGAUUGGAUAAUUCGCGAUCAGGAUGAUGUUCGCACGGUACUUGGUCUUAUAUCCUCGUAUUCCUUGGCCAAGAAAAGGCAGAUACAGAUGGCUCUCGCUAUUCUCGAUAUAAAGAUCGAGAGCAGAGCACAAAUGGUCUCUGUCGCGCAGUUGGCGGAUUCAUUGUCGGCAUAUAACGUCAGGUCGAAAGGCCGGCGUAAAAAUCAUGCGGCAAUGGUCAAAGCGAGUAUUUCCCCUAACGACUGAUUCUGCUGCAACCAAUAGGGUUGGCAGAUGAGAUAUGCGCGCCUCGGCGCGGUAUCACACGGCUUGCACCUACUUCCUUCUCGGUGACGAGAAACGAAACGGUGAUGGAAUAGUCUGAUACUUGCGGUAACGCAAGAUAACAAACAACAGAGGUCCCAAGGGUUUGGCUGUUCGCCAAUUAAAAAGGCACGUGAGCUGGGUUCAGACCGUUCAGAGCAUGAGCGACGGAUGUCGCAGCUCGUGAAUUGAACGGUCUGAAUCAAUCGAACUGUUAAAAUUUUCAUCUAUUAAAUGAUCUACAGCAUUGCACACAAAAUAUGCUGAGGAUAAACCAAUCACAACAUGGCGGUCACUCAUAGCAAUAUGGGAUGAUUCCGUUGACUUAUUUCGGUGGAACCCUACUUUGCUUAGAGAGGGCAAUACCGAGGGAACUGCGCGUGGUAAAAACAGAGCGCGGGCCCGUAGAGACUAAACGUCAACAUUCCGAGCGAUCGGAAUAAGCUAUAGUCCAAUGCACACAGUAAUGUGUGGGAACAUGCGUGAGACAGGUUGGUCUCCUAUCUACUGCAGGCGUUGAUUCUUGAGGAGGUUUGCUUCUAGUACGAGAGGACCGAAGUGAACGGACCGCUGGUCUAUCUGCUGUCGUGCCAACGGCAACGCAGAGUAGCUAUGUCCGGAACGGAUAACCGCUGAAAGCAUCUAAGCGGGAAGCCGUCUCCAAGAUAAGGAAUCGUUGAGGGCCCUAGUAGACUACUAGGUUGAUAGGCCUUAGGUGUACGCACAGCGAUGUGUUGAGCCGAGAGGUACUAAUUGCCCGAUCCUAUUAGGAAA
rnacentral:rRNA from 1 species